rnacentral:rRNA from 1 species
AUACGGAGGGUGCAAGCGUUACUCGGAAUCACUGGGCGUAAAGCGCGCGCAGGCGGGUUGAUAAGUUGGAUGUGAAAGCCUACGGCUCAACCGUAGAACUGCAUCCAAAACUGUCAGUCUAGAGUCUGGGAGGGGAAGAUGGAAUUAGUUGUGUAGGGGUAAAAUCCGUAGAGAUAACUAGGAAUACCAAAAGCGAAGGCGAUCUUCUGGAACAGUACUGACGCUGAGGCGCGAAAGCGUGGGGAGCAAACAGGAUUAGAACCCCUUGUAGUCC